UCAGUCGGCUGGACGGCCGCUCGGGCCGACGCCGAAAGGUGGUCCGGGAGGAAAGUCCGGGCUCCAUGGACAUGCGGUGCCGGAUAACGUCCGGCGGGGGUAACCCCAGGGACAGUGCCACAGAGAACAGACCGCCGCGCCGGGUUGCGUAUGCGCGGUAAGGGUGAAACGGUGCGGUAAGAGCGCACCGCGUUGCCGGCGACGGUAACGGCACGGCAAACCCCACCGGGAGCAAGACCGAAUAGGAACGGCGCGGGGCGCAAGCUCCAGGAUGGAUGUCCAGAUCCUGCCGUUCGGGUAGGUUGCUUGAGUCGCCGGGCAACCGGCGUCCCAGAGGAAUGGUCGUCACGCGUGCGGCAUCCGUCGCACGCCCUACAGAAC
rnacentral:RNase_P_RNA from 1 species